GACUUUGUGCUUUAUAAAUUGCCAGAGACGUAUUAACAUGUGGAUUCCUUGGCAUUGAUUACUGGAAGUAAUACUGAGACUGAAGCUCUUAAAGACAGGUACUCACCUCAUACAGGGAAUGCAAAGUCAGUAGAGGGAGCAAAUUUGGUAUCGGGACCUUUUUUCAAUGCUGAAAACAAGGCGUUCGAUGAAAUGUCACACACAACAGUGAGCUUUGAAAUUCAUGAUCUUUAACGCUAUUGUCCAUGAGGGAGAAACUUUGCAACUACAGUGCGACGAUAGCUUCUGUGUAGAUGUCAGCUUGAAUACGAAGGUGCCUACUGCGAUGUUAGAUGAUACGAAAGAAUCUAAUACUGAGGAGGAGGACAACCCAUGAGAUAAUGUAGCUUUGUUUGACAAAUGUCCUAAACGGGAUACAUCGGGGUUUUCUGGUUCCUUUUUCUAGCCAAGGUUCUGUAAUGUUGAAUGUGAGUAUGCAAAUUACUGCAAUCGAAUAUCCAUUUAUGGUUUCUAAUGGGAUCACACUAUUCCUUGUUUGCAUUAUUCUCUUGAAGAAAUGUGUGGGGGUAAACAAACUAGAGUGCCGCCUUACCUUGACUUUAGCUUACACAAAUGCAAUUGGGUUGAUACUGGGCAGGAGUGCAAUCUUCCUUGUUUCUUGUCGUCUAACUUGAGAGGGUGUGGUAGUGAGGAGAAAAUGGAGGAAGUACUCUAGGUAAAUUGUUGUAAGUUCCUCCAAGCAGUCACCAUAUACUUGAGCUGUUAGGCUCUUGUUUGCUAUGUUUGUUCUAGUCCAUAAAGCAAGGGUGACUUCGUCGUAUAUUGUCUUUGAUCCUGGUCCUUUUCUUGAUUAUGUCACAAUCUAUGCAAUAGACUCCACUUUUGGAGAUGGAAAAUCUAUAGAGGAGAGUGCUGUAACAGUACUAUUUGAACGCCCAGGUGUGAAGUUUCCUAUUGGGCAAGUACUCUCUGUGCAAAUUGGUAUCAUUUUUCCAUUAGGAAUCUGAUGUCAUACUAUAGAUGGUUCCUUUUGUAGUCCUGUGGACAAUUGGCUCGACACUGUGCAGGAUGAUAUAGGUGGUGCAUUGAUUGCUAAUGAAUCUUUAAAUUGGUUAUACUGCAAAGUUGUAUGAUUGGGGGUGUGUCGAUGGAGUUGAAAUUGAUAUUCAAAGCUAUGGUGCUUUCAACACUUCUUUUGCAAGUUACAAACUACUAGGAGAGUUUAUAGAGAAUUCAUUGAUGUGUCUUUAUAAUGGUGUUACUACUGUUUUGGUGCAAUUCAAUGCACCAGUGGUACAAUCUGAUAUAUCUGCUAAGACGAACCGUGACAUUCUAAUUUUUUCUCUUGGACAUGAUACUUUGUUGGAUUGGAUAACAAGGCCAGGGACGGAUUCAUUAAGGGAUUUGCCACACUCUACACCUGUUGUGAAGAGUGAAGAGGAAGAUAGUGGUGAAGCGAUUGGCAAAAAGAUGAUAAUUUCUCUAGUGAGGAAAUUGGAAUAUUAUGAUGCUGCUAUACUUAAGAUUCCGACAUUUGUUCAUGUCACAACUACAGUGCGACGAUAGAUUCUGUGAAGAUGCAGUAUGGUCGUGUUGAACUCCUAUUUUGACAUACAACACUCUUUUGAUUUAUACAUUAGGAUUCUUUCUGAAGGGACAAGGACGACCACUACAAAUAGAAAUCAACAACCAUUCUUCUGUCAAACUCGUCACUACAAAGGAUUGAUUUCACCAAAUGUAUUUUUGCUGCCCAACGUUGAAAUGAUGAGGUAUCAUAUUAAAAUCUGUUUGAUCCAUUUGUGAAUCUGGUCAAAGCUAACAGUCUUGUAGAAUAUUAAGUAUCUGUUCAAACCUUAUAGUCUUGAUGAAAUAUGAUGUUUGUCAUUUAUACACAUAUAUAUAAAAAAGUAGCAUACAUGUAUAUGAUACAUAGUGACCUGAAUUAGAUACAUCGAUCUAUUUCCGAAUUAACAUAUCUGAUGCAUCCGUUUUCAGCAUACAUAUAUUGUAAUUUCGGUUUUCUUGUAUCUAUUAGUUGGAUUAGUGAAUAGUAGUGGCUGGUAUUUUUUUUGUUCUCCUACCCGGUGUCCAGCCUCACUCCCUGGGCUAUUUGAACUAGACCAUGGACAGCAGAGGAAAAUAGGCAUGGUGAUCUUCUCAACAAAUAUCUUUAUCUUUCGUAAGAGUUGAUAUGAAGCAUAUUGAAAAGACAAUCCAUUACCCAAUUGGUUCUGGGAUGGUAAGAUUUUUACCAGACCUUAUGUUAUCAUGUAGGUUUGCUGAGGUUUAUAAUAAAUAGUGCAGCUUUUAGCAAGUGUUAUCUGUCUCUGUCCAUCUGCAUUUGGCUCCAAUAAACGUUGGUUACAUUUCUUUGAGUUAUUUGUACCAGUAACUGGUUUAUGAAUGAGUGCUCUUGGAAUAUCCCAUGACUAAGUGACCAUUUCAAUGCACCAGUGGUACAAUCUGAUAUAUCUGCAAAGACGAACCGUGACAUUGUCUUUUUUUCUAUUGGACAUGAUAUUUUGUUGGAUUGGAUAGCAAGGCCAGGGACAGAUUCAUUAAGGGAUUUGUCACACUCUACACCAGGGACGGAUUCAUUAAGUGAUUUGCCACACUCUACACCUGCUGUGAAGUGUGAAGAGGAAGAUAGUGGUGAAGCGAUUGGUAAAAAGAUGAUAAUCUCUCUAGUGAGGAACUUGGAAUAUUAUGAUGCUGCUAUACUUAAGAUUCCGACAUUUGUUCAUGUCACAACUACAGUGCGACGAUAGAUUCUGUGAAGAUGUCAGUAUGGUCGUGUUGAACUCCUAUUUUGACAUACAACACUCUUUUGAUUUAUACAUUAGAAUUCUUUCUGAAGGGACAAGGACGACCACUACCAAUAGAAAUCAACAACCAUUCUUCUGUCAAACUCGUCACUACAAAG
rnacentral:lncRNA from 1 species